ACUGCACAGCCAGAUGCUGGCUGGGCAAGUACUUGUGUUCCUCGGCCUGACCUGGGGCACCUUCCAGAGCCUGGCCAUCCCCAGGAUUGAAGAAUGUGGCCUCUCCUGUUCUCAGUUACAUAAAGUGUAAGUUGCUGAUUUCCCGGGUUUCGGAUGGUUCUGUCUCCCCCUUCUUGGAAUAUGAGCUCCUCUAGAGGGCUUCGCCUGCAGGAGCCACAGGAACCGGAACAUUUUUAACAGCUUCUGCCAGCCACGCCCCGUGUCCAUGUCCAUGUCUGUCCUGGAGACCCUGACCCCCUCCACUGCCAUGCAGUGCAUCACCCCUAACGGCUGCUCACUGCUCCUGCGUGUAUGCGCCUCCAUCACCCUGCACGAGCGCCUGCGGGGCCUGGAGGCCUGCACCACAAGCCUGGACACCCAGGAGACGCAGUGUCAGAGCGUGUGGGUGGCCAGGGCCUCCCACCAGCAGCAGGUGGGGCAGCAGCUCCAGGUGCAUUUUGGCUGCUUUGAGGUGAGCGUGGCACAGCACCUCUAUGUCACCCUGAGAACCAUCCCUCAUUUCUGCGGGGUCCAGCUGGACCAGUGGCACCUCGUGGAAGCCGGGCGGCUCAGCUACUGGGUGGACCGGAGGCGCAAGGCGGUUCUGGUGCAGGUGCCCCGGGCCUCGGGAAGCCCCGCCUACUUCGUGCGGCUCUGCCUCAAGCUGUUCACCUGCAAGGACGCCGGCGCCCCCGUGCUAGUGAACGCGAGCAGCGUCUCCCGGGCCGUCUCCCUGCCCUACAGCCAGGAGCUGCCAUGCCUGUGCCUGGAGGGCUGGCCUGCCACCCCUGACGCCGUGCGGACCCAGAUCUGCCCCUUUGAGAACGACACUCGGGCCCUGGAGAUGCUGUGGGACACAGUCCACUACCACCCCAGGAGCCAGACACUGAGCUGGGAGCCUGCCUGCCCUGUGAGUGGCCAAGUGAGCCUGUGCUGGUGCCCGGGGCCCGGGGACAGCUGCCAUAAGCUGCAGCACUCCAGCCAGCUGGCGCAUCACAGAGUGCAGUACCGGCUGGUGGACACCCAGCCCCAGCUCUGCCUGAAGUUCUCCACCAGCUGGGGGUCCUGGGUGCGGUGCCCUUUCAAACGGCGUCAGUUCCCAACCCCGCCAACUUCCAGGUGCACCUGUGUCACAGGAGGAGGUCACAGCUCCCAGCCUGCCAACCCGCACUCCAGGCCAGCCCACUUCCUCCAGCCUCAGCUGACCUCGAAGCUGCCCCUGCCAUUGCCUUCCUGGACCUUCCCAAGCAGAAGGCCUGUGCCCCAGGCAUCUGCAUCCAGGGCUGGAGGACCGAUGUGCACUUCUCUGUCCCACAGCAGUUCUGCAACCUCCACGCCAGGGGGUGCCCAGCUUUCAGGGGCCGCAGGGGGCCGAAGACUGGACUCAGGCACUCCCGGCCUCCCUCGGCGGGCUGGGCGUGGCGUGCGCUGAACAGGAGACUGGGUGGGGGGGAUGGGGAGACCACCCAGCCCUGAGCCAGGCUUUUGCACCAAGCCAAGGCCUGCACCCACCACUGCCCUCCAGCCUCGAAGUUCCCUGUACCACACGCCGCUGGCCUCCCGAACGCCCUCCCUGGCCUCACUCCAUCACUGGCCUGGCCGCCUCCUCCCUGAGGGUCCACCUCCCCUGAUCAGAACUCUGAUUCUAAUUGCGAGCGACUUGGGAUGUCCCUCAGCACACCAGCCACUGAGGCCCAGGUUCCCAGGACCCAGGGCACAUCGGGACUGGACUGCCCAGUGGACAGAACUAAGCACGUGUGUCCUGGGUGUGGUCAGGAGCGUGGCUCUGCCUUGGAGUCCAGGAAGGGUCAGAGCUGGCACUCCCACCUGCCCCCCUCCCUGUGAGCUCCAGAGCUCCCCUAGCUUCAGGUGGGAUGAACUGCAAGAGCCACAGAGGUGGGAGGGGUGGGCGGGGGUGGAUAGGACAGCUGGGCACCCGGGGCCCCUGGAGACCCUUUCCAGGGAGCACCAGCAGGCCAGACAGGGGUCUCUAGAAUGUCCCCUCAGCUCAGCGAGCCACGCCAUUUCAGGACAGCUUGCAGCCUGCUGCCCCAGGACGUGCCCAGGGCCAUGGCAGGACCCACACACUUUUAUCUCCUCCUCCCAGCAGGACUUUUUGGCCAAGCCUGGGUCCCCCUCCCCAGCAAAGAUCACCUCCAGCAGAUCACAGACCAAAGAGGUGGUGGCCCCCUGCUGGUCAAGUGUCCCUGGGGCUGGGCCAGCCACUGUGGAGUGCCCGUGCCACACUGGGAAGUCCACGGCCCCAGAGACCAGCCCUUGAGGCAGCAGAAGGGCUGGGCCUGACUUAAGUGGGGGAAUGUUGGCAGACCUGAGGGGCACACAUGCUGCUCUCGGGGUUGGGGUGGAUCCCUCUUUCACUUGUCUGCUGAGGGUCCCUACAGCCAGGAGGCUGACAUCCACAGCCACUGCCCUCCAGGACUGGGCAGCCCCUCCCCUUCCCCCACAUUGUCUCAGCCUCCCACAGUGUGGGCAGGGCUGGGGGGUGCCCCACAUCUCUCUCCAGCUGCACCCACCCCCCUGGGACCACAGCCUGAGGCCAGGAACCUCCUCACGAACAAGUAGGUGCCAGCGCCACACUGCUGGGGGGCAGGAGGCCAAGGCGCAGCCCCCGACAGCUGAGCCAGGCCCCGUCAGAGUGCGGGUGAUCUCACCUGACCGUGGGGCCCAGGCACCUGCUGGCUCUCCUGGGGCUGCAGCUCACAGGGGCUCCAGGUCACAUAGAAGACCUUCAGCCCUUUCCUGAGUCCCCUGGGAACAGCAGGACCUGGGUGGGCUGCCCCUUCCCCAGAUGGCCAAGGUGCUGGCCCUGCCAUGCUGGACCCCAGCCUCCCUCUCAGAAAACUCAUGGUCAUGGCCACAGUCCCUGGCCCUGAAAUCAAGGUCCUGGAGGCCUGGCAGCUGCCCAGAGCCUCCCGGUGCUCCAGGGUGCAGGAUGCAACCCCCCUUCCUGUAGCUGACCAGGCUCAAGGUGGUCGAGGAUCACCCCAGCUUGUGCCCAGAGCACCCCUCCUGGCUGGAGUCACGUCUCCUGUCUGUGCACCUCUGAGUGCUGAACUUCACUGCAGCACCCACCCUGCCCAAACCCCUCCAGGGGGUCUCAGCUUCCCCAGAUCCCAGCUCCACUUAUGCAGCAAGAUUCUGCCACUUCCUGUGGCCUCAGAGGCUGCCUGCCUGAGGGCCCUCUGCUGGGAUGUGCAGUUCUCAGACAUUUCAAGUGGCACAUCCAGGCCCUAGCCAGGGGUCCCCAGCAGUGGUCUGUGCAGUGGGCUAUGCGGUCAGCCCUUGAAGAACUCCCGUGUGGGCCCCGUUGCCACCAGGCUCCCGCACUGAGCCGCCCUCUGGAGCCUGGACGUUCUCUCAGGUGAGUGCUGUGCAGGGCCAUGUGCCCAGCCAGACACA